rnacentral:rRNA from 1 species
UACGGAGGAUCCAAGCGUUAUCCGGAUUAUUGGGUUUAAAGGGUGCGUAGGCGGCCUAUUAAGUCAGGGGUGAAAGACGGUAGCUUAACUAUCGCAGUGCCUUUGAUACUGAUAGGCUUGAAUGUACUUGAGGUAGGCGGAAUGUGACAAGUAGCGGUGAAAUGCAUAGAUAUGUCACAGAACACCAAUUGCGAAGGCAGCUUACUAAAGUAUGAUUGACGCUGAGGCACGAAAGCGUGGGGAUCAAACAGG